rnacentral:rRNA from 1 species
RAAUGACUCUCGGCAACGGAUAUCUCGGCUCUUGCAUCGAUGAAGAACGUAGCGAAAUGCGAUACUUGGUGUGAAUUGCAGAAUCCCGUGAACCAUCGAGUCUUUGAACGCAAGUUGCGCCUGAAGCCAUUAGGCCAAGGGCACGCCUGCCUGGGUGUCACA